GUCUACAGCCAUACCACCCUGAACAAGCCUAAUCCCGUCUGAUCUCAGAAGCUCAGCAAGGUUGGGCCUGGUUAGUACUUGGAUGGGAGACCAUCUAGGAAGACCAGGUUCUGUAGGCG
rnacentral:rRNA from 1 species